rnacentral:rRNA from 1 species
GUGGGGAAUAUUGGACAAUGGGCGAAAGCCUGAUCCAGCCAUGCCGCGUGUGUGAAGAAGGUCUUCGGAUUGUAAAGCACUUUAAGUUGGGAGGAAGGGUAGUAACCUAAUACGUUGCUACUUUGACGUUACCGACAGAAUAAGCACCGGCUAACUUCGUGCCAGCAGCCGCGGUAAUACGAAGGGUGCAAGCGUUAAUCGGAAUUACUGGGCGUAAAGCGCGCGUAGGUGGUUCAGUAAGUUGGAAGUGAAAUCACCGGGCUCAACCUGGGAACUGCUUGCAAAACUGCUGAGCUAGAGUACGGUAGAGGGUGGUGGAAUUUCCUGUGUAGCGGUGAAAUGCGUAGAUAUAGGAAGGAACACCAGUGGCGAAGGCGACCACCUGGACUGAUACUGACACUGAGGUGCGAAAGCGUGGGGAGCAAACAGGAUUAGAUACCCGGGUAGUCC